rnacentral:rRNA from 1 species
UACGGGGGGGGCAAGCGUUGUUCGGAAUUACUGGGCGUAAAGGGCUCGUAGGCGGCCAACUAAGUCAAACGUGAAAUCCCUCGGCUUAACCGGGGAACUGCGCUUGAUACUGGAUGGCUUGGAUUUGGGAGAGGGAUGCGGAAUUCCAGGUGUAGCGGUGAAAUGCGUAGAUAUCUGGAGGAACACCGGUGGCGAAGGCGGCAUCCUGGACCAAUAUUGACGCUGAGGAGCGAAAGCCAGGGGAGCAAACGGG